UACGUAGGGAGCAAGCGUUGUCCGGAAUCAUUGGGCGUAAAGCGCGCGUAGGUGACCUCAUAAGUCCGCUGUGAAAGUCAAAGGCUCAACCUUUGAAAGCCGGUGGAUACUGUGAGGCUAGAGUACGGAAGAGGCGAGUGGAAUUCCUGGUGUAGCGGUGGAAUGCGCAGAUAUCAGGAGGAACACCAAUAGCGAAGGCAGCUCGCUGGGACGUUACUGACACUGAGGCGCGAAAGCGUGGGGAGCGAACAGG
rnacentral:rRNA from 1 species